UACAUGGGGUGCAAACGUUGCUCGGAAUUAUUGGGCGUAAAGCGCACGUAGGCGGUCUUUUAAGUCGGAUGUGAAAGCCCUCGGCUCAACCGAGGAAGUGCAUCCGAAACUGAAAGGCUUGAGUAUGGAAGAGGGUCGCGGAAUUCCCGGUGUAGAGGUGAAAUUCGUAGAUAUCGGGAGGAACACCGGUGGCGAAGGCGGCGACCUGGGCCAAUACUGACGCUGAGGUGCGAAAGCGUGGGGAGCAAACAGG
rnacentral:rRNA from 1 species